CACCUGUUUCCAUGCCGAACACAGAAGUUAAGCUCCUUAGCGUCGAUGGUAGUCGAACUUACGUUCCGCUAGAGUAGAACGUUGCCAGGC
rnacentral:rRNA from 1 species